UACGUAGGGUGCGAGCGUUGUCCGGAAUUAUUGGGCGUAAAGGGCUCGUAGGCGGUCUGUCGCGUCGAAAGUGAAAACCCAGGGCUUAACCCUGGGCCUGCUUCCGAUACGGGCAGACUAGAGGUAUGCAGGGGAGAACGGAAUUCCUGGUGUAGCGGUGAAAUGCGCAGAUAUCAGGAGGAACACCGGUGGCGAAGGCAGCUCACUAAACUGUAACUGACGCUGAGGCACGAAAGCGUGGGGAGCAAACAGG
rnacentral:rRNA from 1 species